rnacentral:rRNA from 1 species
AUGCAAACAAUAAAACCUGCGUACUAUGUACGAAAAAGGAUUUUUCUCGCUUUAUAUUAUAAAACCAACGUACUAUGUAGAGAUCUAGCUAUUCCUUGUCGAAGAUGUCGACAAUCUCCGUGCGCGGCUCCGGCGGCAUGGGCGGCAGCUGCAGCUCCCGAGCCUUCGGCUGCUCCGCUCCGGCCUCCUUCUCCUCUAUUUCCGUGUCAAGUUCGGCAAAGAGCGUGUCGCAUGCCGCCUGCUCCUGUCGGAGGAACUGCCGGUUGGCCUCCACGUAGGCCUCAUCCUAAAUGGACUUCAGGAUGGCCUGCUGCUCCGUCAUCUUCGCGGCUCAGACUGCCGGUUGAACCUCUGCUCCGGCAGCUCCGCCUCCUCCAUCGGCUCCCGCAACGGCUCUCCUUCUCUUCCUCCGCCUCCUCCUCCGUUAGCUGCUCCUCGUCCUCCUCCGGCUCCGGAGAGUCCGGAGGCAUUCCGGUAGCGAUGCGGGGCGGCGCGCCUUGCCUGGAUCUCCUCCGCGAUCUGCCUCCGACGCUCGAGCGUGAGCAUAGCGUAUGUGGUGAUCAGCCGUCGGGCCAUGGGUGA